AUUGAACGCUGGCGGCAGGCCUAACACAUGCAAGUCGAACGAAUGGCUGACGGGUUAGUAAUGUCUUGGAAACUGCCUGAUGGAUGGGGAUAACUACUGUAAACGUUCUCUAAUACCUCCUACCCUCAGCUGUGCCCAGAUGGGAGUAGCUUUUAGGUGGGGUAACGGCUCACCAAGGAGACGAUCCCUAGCUGGUCUGAGAGGAUGACCAGCCAAGCGGGAACUGAGAAAAGGUCCAGAAUCCUACGGGAGUCAGCAGUGGGGAAGAUUGCACAAUGGCCGAAAGCCGGAUGCAGCCAUGCCGCGUGGGUGAAGAAGGCAUUCGGGUUUUAAAGUACUUUCGGCGGGGAGGCGUUACCCGCAUAAGAAGCACCUGCUAACGCCGUGCCAGCAGCCGCGGUAAUUC
rnacentral:rRNA from 1 species